rnacentral:rRNA from 2 species
AGGUUAAGUUAACAAGGGCGCAUGGUGAAUGCCUUGGCACUAGGAGCCGAUGAAGGACGGGACUAACACCGAUAUGCUUCGGGGAGCUGUACGUAAGCUAUGAUCCGGAGAUUUCCGAAUGGGGCAACCCAGCAGUUUUAAUCAACUGUUACCACUAGAUGAAUUCAUAGUCUAGUUGGAGGUAAACGCUGUGAACUGAAACAUCUCAUUAGCAGCAGGAAUAUAAAGAAAUUUCGAUUCCCUAAGUAGCGGCGAGCGAACGGGGAACAGCCCAAACCAAAGUGCUUGCACUUUGGGGUUGUAGGACUGAACAUUUGAGUUACCAAAGAACUUGAUAGUCGAAGGAUUUGGGAAAAUCCGCCAUAGAUGGUGAUAGCCCAGUAGAUUAAAUCAAAUUCUCUCAGUUCAGGAUCCUGAGUACGGCGGAACACGUGAAAUUCCGUCGGAAUCCGGGAGGACCAUCUCCCAAGGCUAAAUACUACCUAGUGACCGAUAGUGAACCAGUACCGUGAGGGAAAGGUGAAAAGCACCCCGGGAGGGGAGUGAAAUAGUUCCUGAAACCAUGUGCCUACAAUAAGUCAGAGCGCGUUAAUGCGUGAUGGCGUGCCUUUUGUAGAAUGAACCGGCGAGUUAUGAUCCCGUGCAAGGUUAAGACUAAAAAGUCGGAGCCGUAGCGAAAGCAAGUCUGAAAUGGGCGUUUUGAGUACGAGGUUAUAGACCCGAAACCAGGUGACCUAUCCAUGUCCAGGUUGAAGGUGCGGUAAAACGCACUGGAGGACCGAACCCGUGUAAGUUGAAAAUUGCUGGGAUGAGGUGUGGAUAGCGGUGAAAUUCCAAACGAACUUGGAGAUAGCUGGUUCUCUCCGAAAUAGCUUUAGGGCUAGCCUCGGAAUUAGGAUCAUGGAGGUAGAGCACUAUUUGGACUAGGGGCCCGUCUUGGGUUACUGAAUUCAGAUAAACUCCGAAUGCCAUUGAUUCAUAUCCGGGAGUCAGACGAUGAGUGAUAAGAUCCACCGCCGAAAGGGGAACAGCCCAGACCAUCAGUUAAGGUCCCUAAAUGUAUGCUAAGUGGAAAAGGAUGUGGAGUUGCAUAGACAACUAGGAUGUUGGCUCAGAAGCAGCCACCAUUUAAAGAGUGCGUAAUAGCUCACUAGUCGAGUGAUCCUGCGCCGAAAAUGUACCGGGGCUAAGCAUACUACCGAAACCAUGGAUGCGACCAUUAGGUCGCGUGAUAGGAGAGCGUUCUAAGGGCGGUGAAGCAAGAUCGUGAGGACUUGUGGAGCGCUUAGAAGUGAGAAUGCCGGUAUGAGUAGCGAAAGAUAGGUGAGAAUCCUAUCCACCGAAUGACUAAGGUUUCCUGGGGAAGGCUCGUCCUCCCAGGGUUAGUCGGGACCUAAGUCGAGGCCGAGAGGCGUAGACGAUGGAUAACAGGUUGAGAUUCCUGUACUAGUUAAGUGCGUUUGAGCAAUGGAGGGACGCAGGAGGCUAAGAUGUGCAUUCUGUUGGAUUAGAAUGUCCAAGCAGUAAGUCUUGUGGAGAGUCAAAUGCUUUUCACUUUAAGGACAAGCUGUGAUGGGGAGCGAAAUUUAGUAGCGAAGCGUCUGAUGUCACACUGCCGAGAAAAGCUUCUAGUGAGUACUUAACUACCCGUACCGCAAACCGACACAGGUAGUCGAGGAGAGAAUCCUAAGGUGAGCGAGUGAACUCUCGUUAAGGAACUCGGCAAAAUGACCCCGUAACUUCGGGAGAAGGGGUGCUGAUCGCAAGAUCAGCCGCAGUGAAUAGGCCCAGGCGACUGUUUAUCAAAAACACAGGUCUCUGCAAAAUCGUAAGAUGACGUAUAGGGGCUGACGCCUGCCCGGUGCUGGAAGGUUAAAAGGAUGGGUUAGCUUCGGCGAAGCUCAGAAUUGAAGCCCCAGUAAACGGCGGCCGUAACUAUAACGGUCCUAAGGUAGCGAAAUUCCUUGUCGGGUAAGUUCCGACCCGCACGAAAGGCGUAACGAUCUGGGCACUGUCUCAACGAGAGACUCGGUGAAAUUAUAUUGUCCGUGAAGAUGCGGACUACCCGCGACAGGACGGAAAGACCCCAUGGAGCUUUACUGUAGCUUGAUAUUGAGUGUUUGUACAGCUUGUACAGGAUAGGUAGGAGCCAUAGAAACCGGAACGCUAGUUUCGGUGGAGGCGUUGGUGGGAUACUACCCUCGCUGUAUGACCACUCUAACCCGCACCACUAAUCGUGGUGGGAGACAGUGUCAGGUGGGCAGUUUGACUGGGGCGGUCGCCUCCUAAAAAGUAACGGAGGCGCCCAAAGGUUCCCUCAGAAUGGUUGGAAAUCAUUCGCAGAGUGUAAAGGCACAAGGGAGCUUGACUGCGAGACAGACAGGUCGAGCAGGGACGAAAGUCGGGCUUAGUGAUCCGGUGGUACCGUAUGGAAGGGCCAUCGCUCAACGGAUAAAAGCUACCCUGGGGAUAACAGGCUUAUCUCCCCCAAGAGUCCACAUCGACGGGGAGGUUUGGCACCUCGAUGUCGGCUCAUCGCAUCCUGGGGCUGUAGUCGGUCCCAAGGGUUGGGCUGUUCGCCCAUUAAAGCGGUACGCGAGCUGGGUUCAGAACGUCGUGAGACAGUUCGGUCCCUAUCCGUCGCGGGCGUAGGAAAUUUGAGAGGACCUGUCCUUAGUACGAGAGGACCGGGAUGGACAUACCUCUGGUGUACCAGUUGUGCCGCCAGGCGCAUCGCUGGGUAGCUACGUAUGGAUGUGAUAAACGCUGAAAGCAUCUAAGUGUGAAACACACCUCGAGAUGAGAUUUCCCAUUCCUUUAUGGAAGUAAGACCCCUGAAAGAUGAUCAGGUAGAUAGGUUAGAAGUGGCAGUGCGGUGACGCAUGAAGCGGACUAAUACUAAUCGGUCGAGGACUUAACCAAG